rnacentral:rRNA from 1 species
CAGUCGCCGCGGUAAUACGGAGGGUGCAAGCGUUAUCCGGAUUUAUUGGGUUUAAAGGGUCCGUAGGCGGAUCUGUAAGUCAGUGGUGAAAUCUCACAGCUUAACUGUGAAACUGCCAUUGAUACUGCAGGUCUUGAGUAAAUUUGAAGUGGCUGGAAUAAGUAGUGUAGCGGUGAAAUGCAUAGAUAUUACUUAGAACACCAAUUGCGAAGGCAGGUCACUAAGAUUUAACUGACGCUGAUGGACGAAAGCGUGGGGAGCGAACAGGAUUAGAUACCCCCGUAUCCCUGUCUCUUAUACA